AAAGAAAUAAAUUUAAUCAUGUAUAAAUAUUGUUAUUUUCCGAUAAAGGGAAAACCCAAUCAGCAUGGCAAAGAGAGUGUAACAACGUUGCGGUGAAGGGAAACUUGAGGAAAAAGCAACAUUUCGAAAUCCAGAUGAGUUCUACUUCUACUUCAAGAUGGUUAAAACAAAAACUGUGCAUAAAUUGGAGUAAGUUACUAAUAUUCAUAUAUGCUGAUUGAGCUAAUUUCUGCCUCAUUCGUGGUUGAUCUGACUUGUGAGACAUUGUUUCGAUAUUUCAAGUACACAAUCAGUUUGGAGAUAUCUACUUAAUUGUUGAAAUCUUAUCACUUGAUCUAGAUUGAACAAUUGAGCCAUGUCUAUGGAGGAUUAACGAUUUCGUCCUGUUUGUAGUGCCAUGUCUGAUGGAUGGAUGCACAAGCUUUAUUCACAAAUAAUAUAUAGUUGUUCUAUUGUUCCAAGAAAAAAAAGUUAAAGUAUCUUCAUAUCACGAGUUCAGGUGAACAGCUGCCUAUUUGGUUUCUUUGGGUAUUGAAACUCAACAUUUUUUUUGUAUGAGUGAAAUCUUUAGAUCUAUUGGAAUCACAUGAUCAAAGUGUCCAAAAAGUAGUUAUGGCAGUAAUUAGCAAUCUGUUAGUAGUCAGGAAAGUGGUGAGGCUGAUUGUUAGUUAGUUAUAACUAAUUACUGCUUCAAAUUUGUGAUUUCUAUAAAUAAGAUGUGUAAUUCAUAAUAUUUUUUCCUCUU